AAUAAAUAAACCCUGAUUUUCGUGCCCAACAUUUAACCGUCUAUCUUAUUUAAAAAAAUUAUGAAAAAAAGUUAAAAAGACAAGUCACGUAUAAAAUAUUAAUCAUAUUUUAUCAUCUAACAACAAUAAAAAUACUAAUUAUAAAAAAUUUUCCUAUAAAAUGGACAGUUAAAGUUGGACAUGGAAACCUAGGGUUUGUCUUUUU
rnacentral:pre_miRNA from 1 species